GAUUUUGGCUAGGGUUUCUUGCCACACUCGAAUUACGUGCUGGAAGCAAGGCAUUAGGAGUGAGACAGCAUCCAAGUAUUGAAAUCCAAUAGCUUCCAUCCAAUCCAAUCCUAUGCCUAGCCAUGGCACUGUUGCAACACAGAUCCAUUUGUAUGGCCGAUUCCAAGUCUUCAGCUACCGCUACCGCUAAAGACUUGGAUGCUCUCUAGGUAUUGGAGCCCCGAUCAAAAUGCCAGAGAUCCACUGUCCUGGCUAUGGCACUGUCCUGACCGUGUCCAAAUAUCUUGGUGUUGUCCCUGUUUUUUUAUUGAUUGCUACUAUACUAGGAGAAUCUAAUGGAUGCCAAUGGCACUCACUUGUUCAUGGAUCAUAGUAGUACAAUGGAGGUAUUCUAACAUAGCUUUAAAUAUAGCAUUCUUCAUCCCCUUUUCCAUGGAAAUUUUGACACCAUUGUGGAUUUUCUUCUUUUCUAGAGCUUAGAUGUUCCAUUGGUCGGAAACAAGGGUCUGGAUUUCGAGGCUGAGUCAGUCUUCAAUCAGGAAUUCAUCAAGGUGAAGCUUUCAGACUACUUCUAUGUCAUGUUGUUCUUCUAUCCUUUGGACUUCAUGAUCAUUUGCCCGAUAGGUUGGUUGAUGACAAUUGCGUUGGUUUGAAGAUUUCUUCAAACUUUUCUUUUCCUCCUACUAGAAAUUGCCUCUUUCUGUGAUCGUUACUCGGAAUUUGAGAAGAUCAACACGGAAGUGCUCAAAGUCUCUGUUGACAGUGUGUUUUCCCAUCUGUCUUGGGUUCAAACUGAGAGAAAGUUGGGUGGCCUAGGCAAUUUGCACUAUCCCCUUGUUUCAGACAUCUCCAAGUCAAUCUCCAAGGCUUACAACGUACACAUCUCUAAUCUGGGAAUUGCCCUCUGAGGCCUCUUCAUGCUAGCAGCAGGGAGUCAAAAACAGCAAGCCAGCAGCAGCAAGUGGCACAAGCGGCAAGCGAGUGAUGAUCCAGCUCCAUCUCGCAAUGCAGUGGUGCAGCUAUGAGCAUCCAACUCCAGCCGUAGCUAUUGCCAAUUUCAUUUCUAGCUGCAAGCAGCAUUGUAAUUGAGCGGCGGUUUAGAUAUCAAUUCAAUUAAUGAUCCAGAUUUUUGCUUA